AAUAGAUACCCGGGUAGUCCUAGCCGUAAACGAUGGACACUAGGUGUUGGUGGUAUCAACCCCACCAGUGCCGAAGCUAACGCAUUAAGUGUCCCGCCUGGGGAGUACGGCCGCAAGGCUAAAACUCAAAGGAAUUGACGGGGCCCCGCACAAGCAGCGGAGCGUGGGGUUUAAUUCGAUGCAACGCGAAGAACCUUACCAGGGCUUGACAUGACCAGGAAUCCGGCGGAAACGUCGGCGUCCCGCAAGGGACCUGGCCACAGGUGUUGCAUGACUGUCGUCAGCUCGUGUCGUGAGAUGUUGGGUUAAGUCCCGCAACGAGCGCAACCCCUAUCGUGUGUUGUAUCACUCACAUGAGACUGCCGAGAGAAACUCGGAGGAAGGCGGGGAUGACGUCAAGUCAGCAUGGCCCUUACGUCCUGGGCUACACCCACGCUACAAUGGCCGGUACAACGGGCUGCGAAACCGCGAGGUGGAGCUAAUCCCUUAAAGCCGGUCUCAGUUCGGAUUGUAGGCUGCAACUCGCCUACAUGAAGCCGGAGUUG
rnacentral:rRNA from 1 species